rnacentral:rRNA from 1 species
GAUGAACGCUGGCGGCGUGCCUAAUACAUGCAAGUCGAACGAAGUCUUCGGACUUAGUGGCGAACAGGUGAGUAACACGUUGGUACCCACCCCGAAGUGGGGAAUAACUGCCCGAAAGGGUGGCUAAUACCGCAUAAUACCGCAAGGUUAAAGCAGUGAUGCGCUUCGGGAGGGGCCUGCGUCCCAUUAGCUAGUUGGUAGGGUAAUGGCCUACCAAGGCGACGAUGGGUAGCUGGAUCGAGAGGUUGACCAGCCACACUGGGACUGAGAUACGGCCCAGACUCCUACGGGAGGCAGCAGUAAGGAAUCUUCCACAAUGGACGAAAGUCUGAUGGAGCAACGCCGCGUGCAGGAUGACGGCCUUCGGGUUGUAAACUGCUUUUAUACGGGAAGAUUAUGACGGUACCGUAUGAAUAAGGACCGGCUAACUACGUGCCAGCCGCCGCCGUAA